rnacentral:rRNA from 1 species
GACGGGGACCCGCACAAGCGGUGGAUGAUGUGGUUUAAUUCGAUGCAACGCGAAAAACCUUACCCACCUUUGACAUGUACGGAAUUUGCCAGAGAUGGCUUAGUGCUCGAAAGAGAGCCGUAACACAGGUGCUGCAUGGCUGUCGUCAGCUCGUGUCGUGAGAUGUUGGGUUAAGUCCCGCAACGAGCGCAACCCUUGUCAUUAGUUGCUACGAAAGGGCACUCUAAUGAGACUGCCGGUGACAAACCGGAGGAAGGUGGGGAUGACGUCAAGUCCUCAUGGCCCUUAUAGGUGGGGCUACACACGUCAUACAAUGGCCGGUACAAAGGGUCGCAAACCCGCGAGGGGGAGCCAAUCCAUCAAAGCCGGUCGUAGUCCGGAUCGCAGUCUGCAACUCGACUGCGUGAAGUCGGAAUCGCUAGUAAUCGUGGAUCAGCAUGUCACGGUGAAUACGUUCCCGGGUCUU